UGCUCAGUCAGCUUUCUCUACGUUUAUAUA
rnacentral:piRNA from 1 species